UACGUAGGGGGGCAAGCGUUGUCCGGAUUUAUUGGGCGUAAAGAGCUCGUAGGCGGCUCAGUUAGUCGGAUGUGAAAACUCCAGGCUCAACCUGGAGACGCCAUUCGAUACUGCUGUGGCUAGAGUCCGGUAGGGGAGCACGGAAUUCCUGGUGUAGCGGUGAAAUGCGCAGAUAUCAGGAGGAACACCUAUGGCGAAGGCAGCUCGCUGGGACGGUACUGACGCUGAGACGCGAAAGCGUGGGGAGCGAACAGG
rnacentral:rRNA from 1 species